rnacentral:lncRNA from 1 species
CCACGGACUAGCAAGCGCAGCGUAGCACGUCCACCAACAAGGUGGACAGACAACCUUAUAAAGGUCGCCGUCGACGCUGGAUGCAGGUCGCCUCCAACAGGUAUCUGUGGAGAUCUAAGGGGGAGGCCUAUGUUCAGCAGUGGACGUCCUAUGGCUGAGAUGAUGAUGAUGAUGAUGAUGAAU